ACGGAAGCAUGAUGUCUGUUGUGCUCUGCUCGUCGUGCUGGCUUCCGUGGCGGGGGGUCCUCAUCACCGUUGACAUCAGAGUGCGUCGCCGACUAGGACUCAUCAGCGAGGAAAGAAACUAACAAGGAUUCCCCUAGUAACUGCGAGUGAAGCGGGAAAAGCUCAAAUUUAAAAUCUGGCGGUCUCUGGCCGUCCGAGUUGUAAUCUAGAGAAGUGAUGCCCGCGCUGGACCGUGUACAAGUCUCCUGGAAUGGAGCGUCAUAGAGGGUGAGAAUCCCGUCUCUGACACGGACUACCAGGGCUUUGUGGUAUCCUCUCAAAGAGUCGAGUUGUUUGGGAAUGCAGCUCUAAAUGGGUGGUAAAUUCCAUCUAAAGCUAAAUAUUGGCGAGAGACCGAUAGCGAACAAGUACCGUGAGGGAAAGAUGAAAAGAACUUUGGAAAGAGAGUUAAACAGUACGUGAAAUUGCUGAAAGGGAAACGCUUGAAGUCAGUCGCGUUGGCCAGGAAUCAGCCUCACUCUUGUGUGGUGUACUUUCUGGUUGACGGGUCAGCAUCAAUUUUGACUGCUGGAAAAAGGCUUAGGGAAUGUGGCAGCUUCGGCUGUGUUAUAGCCCUUUGUCACAUACAGCGGUUGGGAUUGAGGAACUCAGCACGCCGCAAGGCCGGGUUUCGACCACGUUCGUGCUUAGGAUGCUGGCAUAAUGGCUUUAAGCGACCCGUCUUGAAACACGGACCAAGGAGUCUAACAUGCCUGCGAGUGUUUGGGUGGUAAACCCGAGCGCGUAAUGAAAGUGAAAGUUGAGAUCCCUGUCGUGGGGAGCAUCGACGCCCGGACUUGAACUUUUGUGACGGAUCCGCGGUAGAGCAUGUAUGUUGGGACCCGAAAGAUGGUGAACUAUGCCUGAAUAGGGUGAAGCCAGAGGAAACUCUGGUGGAGGCUCGUAGCGAUUCUGACGUGCAAAUCGAUCGUCAAAUUUGGGUAUAGGGGCGAAAGACUAAUCGAACCAUCUAGUAGCUGGUCGGCCCGCGAAAGCCCCCCCGAGAAAAAAAAAAAAAAGGAAAAAA
rnacentral:rRNA from 1 species